rnacentral:rRNA from 1 species
UGGGGAAUAUUGGACAAUGGGGGAAACCCUGAUCCAGCCAUGCCGCGUGAGUGAUGAAGGCCCUAGGGUUGUAAAGCUCUUUUGUGCGGGAAGAUAAUGACGGUACCGCAAGAAUAAGCCCCGGCUAACUUCGUGCCAGCAGCCGCGGUAAUACGAAGGGGGCUAGCGUUGCUCGGAAUCACUGGGCGUAAAGGGUGCGUAGGCGGGUCUUUAAGUCAGAGGUGAAAGCCUGGAGCUCAACUCCAGAACUGCCUUUGAUACUGAGGAUCUUGAGUAUGGGAGAGGUGAGUGGAACUGCGAGUGUAGAGGUGAAAUUCGUAGAUAUUCGCAAGAACACCAGUGGCGAAGGCGGCUCACUGGCCCAUAACUGACGCUGAGGCACGAAAGCGUGGGGAGCAAACA